rnacentral:rRNA from 1 species
GAAUCAAUUACGUGUACCUGAAGAAUAAGUCAUCGUGCUAAGCUCCGUUGCCAUCAUCCGUCGGUAAGAGCGGACGGAUGCAAGUGUUAUCCGGAAUCACUGGGCGUAAAGCGUCUGUAGUGUGGUUUAAUAAGUCAACUGUUAAAUCUUGAGGCUCAACCUGCAAUAAUCGUCAGUCGAAACUAUUAGACUAGAGUAUAGUAGGGGUAAAGGGAAUUUCCAGUGGAGCGGUGAAAUGCGUAGAUACUUGGAAGGAACACCGAUGGCGAAGGCACUUUACUGGUGCUAUUACUAACAUUCAGAGACGAAAGCUAGGGUGGCAAAUGGGACUUAGAUACCCCAGUAGUCUUCAGCUGUAAUACAUAUGGAUACUAGAUGUUGAACAGAUCGACCUGUGCAGUAUCAAAGCUAACGCGGUAAGUAUCCCGCUCUGGGAAGUAUGCUCGCCAAGAGUGAAACUCAAAUGAUAUUGACGG